AUUGAACGCUGGCGGCAUGCUUUACACAUGCAAGUCGAACGGUAACAGGGAGCUUGCUCCGCUGACGAGUGGCGAACGGGUGAGUAAUGCGUCGGAACGUGCCGAGUAGUGGGGGAUAACGCAUCGAAAGGUGUGCUAAUACCGCAUACGUACUGAGGUAGAAAGUGGGGGACCUUCGGGCCUCACGCUAUUCGAGCGGCCGACGUCGGAUUAGCUAGUUGGUGAGGUAAAGGCUCACCAAGGCGACGAUCAGUAGCGGGUCUGAGAGGAUGCUCCGCCAGGCUGGGACUGAGACACGGCCGAGGCUCCUACGGGAGGCAGCAGUGGGGAAUUUUGGACAAUGGGCGCAAGCCUGAUCCAGCCAUGCCGCGUGUCUGAAGAAGGCCUUCGGGUUGUAAAGGACUUUUGUCCGGGAGCAAAUGCCUGGUGUUAAUAGCACUGGGAGCUGAGAGUACCGGAAGAAUAAGCACCGGCUAACUACGUGCCAGCCGCCGCCGUAACAC
rnacentral:rRNA from 1 species